CUUUUGGAGGGUUGGCUGGACACCAAGCUCCUGGCGGGGUGCAGGGGCAUUCCACCUGCCUUGCCUUGGUGAUUGGCUCAGCGGGGCGAUCAUGAUCCCAGCUGGGUGCAGAGACGCUGUCAUGAAGAGAAGCUUCCUCUUUCUGCUGGAACUGCCAGCCAUAAAGGUCAAGUAAGUCCUGAGCUUUCAGUUUCCCCCUGAGAGCAAAGCCACCAGGUAGGAAAGCUGAGAUACAGAGGGCAGCGGGAAAGGGAGAGACCAAAUCCGAAUGACCGCAUCCUGGAAGGCUGUACCCAUGCAUUCUGCCUUCCUUCCUUUAUUGCAGAUAAAUUGUACAAUCUCCUGCUAAAGCAAAGCUCUCUAUUUGCACUGUCCAGCCCAUA
rnacentral:lncRNA from 10 species